ACAGCAAAAUCAAUUUGAAAUCUCCGGUUUGCGUACGAUCACCGAAGUUAAGCAACGUCGAGCCUGGACAUUACAAAGAUGGGAGACUGCUUGGGAAUACCGGGAGCUGUAAG